UCUCAUUCUAUCUUGUCCUAAUGAGAGAUGUUCUCAGAAUGAGAAUCAUAGAAGUCUCAUAUCUUCAUUGCUUUUGGCAUUAUCUUCAGUGAAACACAGCUUGAAUGUAGCAUCUCAAACAGAAUCUCGUCUAAUUCUUUAAUACAAGGAUAGCUGAUAGAGGCACUGCCAGAAACUUUUUUUUUUUUUUCUUUCCUUUAGUCACAUAUUUUCUCAUAAUCCACUUUCAGCUCCUUGACCUAGAAGGUCUCUGUUUUCCAAGUCUGUAUUUUCAGUUGCUAUGUUAGAAAUAGACUUAUAUAUUGCUAUAUUCCAAUGGUUCUUUCCAAGAUUUUCUUAUGCUUUCACCUCUCCUCCAGGAGCAGUGACCUCUUCACAUUCUUGGUCCAGUUCACCAGGCAUGAAAUAACACCACUGGAUUGCAGUUCCUAGAUUGCUUUAACAAGAAUCGAAGAUGAUAACAGAAUGAAUUCCCAGGCCUCUUCUGAAGCACAUGGACUUUGAAUUUUAAGUAAUUUGUUGCUUUAAGGCUGUGCUAAGAUACCAACAAGUUUGGAUGGCUAAAGCAGAUGGAGAAAAUUUUAGGACAAAACAGUUCAAGAGCUACAAACAACUUCCUUCCAGGUUUUGAUCUAAUAGAAGCAAAUAUCUGGUGCGAAAAAUGUGAUGGAAUUUUGUUGGGAGGCUACAAUAAUGCAGACAUUCCAACAGAGUAGAUGCAAAGCCAGCUGCCAGUUUUGGCAUUCAGUAAGUUUUGAUUGCUUGGAUUUGCAGACCUAGAGAGUAUCUUGUAGAACAGAUUUCAUCAUAAAAUAUCUGAAGAAUACUCUUUUGUAUGUUAUUGGAUCACAUGGUUUCAGUCUGGGUCACUGGACAGAUUGGACAACUCAAUUCCAAAGUACAAACAUCUGUCAUUUCAACUGCUGCAGUGACAGGCAGCUGUAGGAGGUCGUUUUCUA
rnacentral:lncRNA from 1 species